AGGGGGUGGCGGGUGCUUAACAUGGCAGUCGAACGAAGCAUUUGCACGGAAUCCCUCGGGAGGAAGUGUGAAUGCCUGUAAGGCGGACGGGUGAGUAACGCGUGGGCAACCUGCCCCGUAACGGGGGAUAACAGCCGGAAACGGCUGCUAAUACCGCAUAUGCUUUGCGGGCCGCAUGGCCCGCAAAGCCCCACUCCGGUGGUACGGGAUGGGCCCGCGUCUGAUUAGCUGGUUGGCGGGGUAACGGCCCACCAAGGCGACGAUCAGUAGCCGGCCUGAGAGGGCGGCCGGCCACAUUGGGACUGAGACACGGCCCAGACUCCUGCGGGAGGCAGCAGUGGGGAAUAUUGCACAAUGGGGGAAACCCUGAUGCAGCGACGCCGCGUGGGCGAGGAAGUACCUCGGUAUGUAAAGCCCUAUCAGCAGGGAAGAAACAGGACAGUACCUGACUAAUAAGCCCCGGCUAACUACGUGCCAGCAGCCGCGGUAAUACGUAGGGGGCACGCGUUAUCCGGAUUCACUGGGCGUAAAGGGAGCGCAGGCGGCAUGGCAAGUCUGAUGCGAAAACCCGGGGCCCAACCCCGGGAGUGCAUUGGAAACUGCCAGGCUGGAGUGUCGGAGGGGUAAGCGGAAUUCCUAGUGUAACGGUGAAAUGCGUAGAUAUUAUGAGGACCACCAGUGGCGAAGGCGGCUUACUGGACGACCACCGACGCUGAGGCUCGAAAGCGUGGCGAGCAACCAGCGAUUAAAUCCCUGCCCAUCCCCGCCCUAAAUCGAUGUAUAUCAUUUGCCGGCGGCCA
rnacentral:rRNA from 1 species